rnacentral:rRNA from 1 species
CCUACGGGUGGCAGCAGUGAGGAAUAUUGGUCAAUGGGCGUAAGCCUGAACCAGCCAAGUCGCGUGAGGGAUGAAGGUUCUAUGGAUCGUAAACCUCUUUUAUAAGGGAAUCAAGUGCGGGACGUGUCCCGUUUUGUAUGUACCUUAUGAAUAAGGAUCGGCUAACUCCGUGCCAGCAGCCGCGGUAAUACGGAGGAUCCGCGCGUUAUCCGGAUUUAUUGGGUUUAAAGGGUGCGUAGGCGGCCUUUUAAGUCAGCGGGGAAAGUCGGUGGCUCAACCAUAGAAUUGCCGUUGAAACUGGGAGGCUUGAGUAUGUUUGAGGCAGGCGGAAUGCGUGGUGUAGCGGUGAAAUGCUUAGAUAUCACGCAGAACCCCGAUUGCGAAGGCAGCCUGCCAAGCCAUGACUGACGCUGAGGCACGAAAGCGUGGGGAUCAAACAGGAUUAGAUACCCGUGUAGUC